GUUAGGAAUCUUCCACAAUGGGGGCAACCCUGAUGGAGCAACACCGCGUGCUGGAUGAAGGCCUUCGGGUCGUGAACAGCUUUUGUAUACGAAGAAUAUGACGGUAAUAUACGAAUAAGGGUCGGCUAACUACGUGCCAGCAGCCGCGGUCAUACGUAGGACCCAAGCGUUAUCCGGAGUGACUGGGCGUAAAGAGUUGCGUAGGCGGCUUAUUAAGCGAGUAGUGAAAUCUGGUGGCUCAACCAUCAACACAUUGCUCGAACUGAUAGGCUUGAGAAUGGUAGAGGUAGUUGGAAUUUCUUGUGUAGGAGUGAAAUCCGUAGAUAUAAGAAGGAACACCAAUGGCGUAGGCAGACUACUGGACCAUUUCUGACGCUGAGGCACGAAAGCGUGGGGAGCGAACCGGAUUAGAUACCCGGGUAGUCC
rnacentral:rRNA from 1 species